rnacentral:tRNA from 1 species
GCCUUCUUAGCUCAGCGGUAGAGCGUUCCACUCGUACCGACUGUACCCCCCUGUGAGAUGGAAAGGUCGCUAGUUCAAGUCUGGCAGGAGGCA